CACUGACGUCUGUGCUGCUGUUCAGGAUGGCAUGACUUGCAUCUCUCAUGUUAAAUACUUGAGAAUCACAGUCUGGGACUCGUGGAACCUCUCUGCCUGCCCUGAUCUUAAAGGAAGGCAGAAGCUGGAAGGAACCUCUGGCAGUCAUCUGGUCCCACCCACCCCUCCUCAAGCUGGACCACCAUGAGCUACCCAGGACCAUCUUCAGAGGAGGGAUGAGGAGGACCAGAAUUUCAUCACCAUCUUCUCAUGUUGCAUCACACUUCAGUAUCUUUGCCCAUCAAACUGCUUUUCAUCCUACAAAAAGCAUGCUUAUUUAUCAAAGUCUUCAGUAUGGAUUCUGAACAUAUUUAAUGAAUGUGCUACGUAAAGUUCAGCUUUGUCCCACAGAGACACUGCUAUGCUCCAGAGACUCAAGGACAGUACAAAAACAGUGGACUUUUUCUCCUUUUUGGACUGAUCAUUUUGGAACUGUUACCACUGGAAGCUUUCAAUUUAAAUCUUUA